UACGUAGGGUGCGAGCGUUGUCCGGAAUUACUGGGCGUAAAGAGCUCGUAGGUGGUUUGUCGCGUUGUUCGUGAAAACUCAUAGCUUAACUGUGGGCGUGCGGGCGAUACGGGCAGACUGGAGUACUGCAGGGGAGACUGGAAUUCCUGGUGUAGCGGUGGAAUGCGCAGAUAUCAGGAGGAACACCGGUGGCGAAGGCGGGUCUCUGGGCAGUAACUGACGCUGAGGAGCGAAAGCGUGGGGAGCGAACAGG
rnacentral:rRNA from 1 species